UGAUCUACUGAAUUUUCAGAGUAGUAGUG
rnacentral:piRNA from 1 species